UCUUCCAUUUGUUUAAGAAUUUGCAUGGAAAUGCAGCGAGUUAAUUAAGCAAGAAUGUUUCUAACUUAUAAUUCGUCCUGCACUCAGGCGAAUGAUAAGGAAUGCAAAUAUCAAACUGCCUUCAUUUGCGAGACUGCAUAUUUCUGCAUUUCCAUGCUUUUUUAAGGAUGUCGUUAUGCAGGAACGCAAUGUGUUACACUAAAAUAGAGCAACAAAAGAAAAAAAAAUUGGGCCUGCAUCUAAAACCGAAAAUUGCGCAUUUGGAGAGCACAUUCUAAAGGAGCCGCCCGUCCCGGAGACGCCGGAGACGCCAAUAGCAGACACAAGGACGCCGUCGACGUCAAUUGGAAACACAAUGCGCGAUAUAUCCACCGUCUCACCACUUCACUGCACUUCAUCAUCCACCCCGAACACCUGAAACAGAUAAUUGCUCUAAUUACCGGAGGAACUUUACGA